AUACGGAGGGGGCUAGCGUUGUUCGGAAUUACUGGGCGUAAAGCGCACGUAGGCGGAUUAAAAAGUUAGAGGUGAAAUCCCAGGGCUUAACCCUGGAACUGCCUUUAAAACUAGUAGUCUAGAGUUCGAGAGAGGUGAGUGGAAUUCCAAGUGUAGAGGUGAAAUUCGUAGAUAUUUGGAGGAACACCAGCGGCGAAGGCGGCUCACUGGCUCGAUACUGACGCUGAGGUGCGAAAGCGUGGGGAGCAAACAGGAUUAGAAACCCCAGUAGUCC
rnacentral:rRNA from 1 species